GUUAGGGGGCUGGAAUGCCCGAGGUUCUGGUGAUUCCCUAAUGUUGCCCUGAGAACUUUGUCUUUCUCGUGUUUUUCGCCUUGUUCCUGGACUGAACACAUAUUCAUGGAAAAAAUGUUGAAUUGUGAUCAAAUGAGGAAAUUAUUACAAAGGGAAUGACUAGGAACAAAUAGUAAUGAUUGCACAAAUUAAUAAGAUCAAGGUAUAAAAACAGUUCAAGAUUCACUGCUACUUCUAGAAAUUUAUUGCUUUUUACAUAUCACCAUAUUGCAAUGUGCUGUUAUUUGCCCUACAUCUACAUACAAUAAAAUGACUACCACUAUAACUGGAAGACUAUAUACUUUUACACUAUUUUAUACGAAGUAAAAUAUGUAGAAAAUGCAGCAUUUUGUUACCGUUCUAACAGCUUUCAAAGGGUUAUCACCACCAUUACAAUAGCUACAAUGACCAACCAAAAGUCAUCACCACGAUCACAAUAAUAAUUUGUACUUGCACACUGCAGCAUCAUGACUAAGAUAGGUCGCACUCUCUGCGCCAAUCUCUCAGCACAAGUAAUGAUGAACAGCCAGUGGAUGGUGAGAUAUGUGUAGGCACACUGAACUACAUGAAGAUGAAGUACAAAAGUAGAUCGUAAAGCAAUGAAGGAAGGUAUGAAGGGAUAUAAGCAGUGUAGAGAUGGAGUCAUUACAUAAUGGUUCACAUGAUGGACAAUAUUACAAAAGAAGUGAAGGAUAGUAACUAAGGGAUAGUACUUUAUGAACAGAUAUGUUUUCAGAGAGCGUGUGAAUGUAGCCUUGGAGUUAUGAGUUGUGAAUGUGAUGUGGAAGAGAGUUCAACUGCUUAGCAGCACAGAGGAAGGACGUACGUUGUCCAUUUGUGACUGUCUUUGUGGGAAGGAGGAUAGAAUGCGUGAGUCUCAUGAGAAGCGAAGGUUUCGGGAGAAGCGAAGGUUUCGGGCAGGAGUAAGGAAAGACAAGAUUUCAGUAAAGUAGUGGGAUGAGGAACCCUCAAAGAAUCAAUAGCAUAGAGAUGAGAGCUUGUAGUCUAUUCUAGCUUUAACUGGUAGCCAAUGAAAAGAGUGAAAAAGUGGUAUGACAUGCACAUUUGAAAGUUCAGAAAACAAUACAAUAGCUACAUUGACCACACAAACGUCAUUGCCAUGAUCACAAUAGCUACAAUGACUGCCCAGAGGUUAUUUCUGUUAUAUUAACAUAUAUACCAGUCAUUCCAGUCACAUUAACAACCACAAAUAACUUUUGAACAAUGUUCAUCCUUAUCAAGACAUUGCUCUUAAUUAAAUUUAGGUGAACAGAUCAGCAGUCAAGCUAAUGAAGUUUCUUUGAAUAUUAUUAUACACACUAUCAUAAUACAAGUAUAUAAUCUCCACUGUAACUACAUUCACAAAGUAUAGUGACGUAAUUAUGUAUUUCUGGAUGUUUCCUUAGAACUGUGUAUCAAGCAUGCACUGUGUAGGUGAAAAUAACUCAUGCUGUUGUUGUUGUGGCAAGUAUGUAUCAUUAUCAUUCAACCCUUGACUGAUACUAGCUGAUCCCCAGUUAAGCUGACCUGCCUGUACCAGUCACUGACAGCCGAAUGGUUAGGGCUGGGGAAACAGAUAGCCAAGUGGUUAAGGCACUGGCAUCUUUUGAUAACAGAGAUUUAGAGAUCAUUGCUUCUUCUUCCUCUGCCUUCCUAACACUUCUUCAGCUGUUAAACACAGCAUCUCACUAUUUGCAGCAAUGAUGUCAAUUAUAGCUACGGUGUUUAGGGUGGCAAAUUUACCACCAACUUGGAUCUUGAGGAUUUCUGCAAUGUCAAGAUCAGUAGUAGAAUGCUAUUGCCAGGUGGAGGAUGGGAUGUUAAAUGUCUGCAGUAAUAGAUCCUAUAGGCUGAUCAACACUAUCUUGUGCACAUCAAGCUGGAUGUCAAAAUGAAUGCCAGCUGUGCACACCCUAGAUACCAAUGAACUGAGAAAAGUCCCAAAGAAAGAACGCAUAU
rnacentral:lncRNA from 1 species